rnacentral:rRNA from 1 species
AACGAACGCUGGCGGCAGGCCUAAUACAUGCAAGUCGAGCGCUCGUAGCAAUACGGGAGCGGCGGACGGGUGAGUAACACGUGGGAACAUGCCUAUCGGUUCGGAAUAACGCAGGGAAACUUGCGCUAAUACCGAAUGCGCCCGAGAGGGGAAAGAUUUAUCGCCGAUAGAUUGGCCCGCGUUGGAUUAGCUAGUUGGUGAGGUAACGGCCCACCAAGGCCGCGAUGGGUAGCUGGUCUGAGAGGACGAUCAGCCACACUGGGACUGAGACACGGCCCAGACUCCUACGGGAGGCAGCAGUGGGGAAUUUUGGACAAUGGGCGCAAGCCUGAUCCAGCCAUGCCGCGUGCGGGAAGAAGGCCUUCGGGUUGUAAACCGCUUUCAGCAGGGACGAAGCGAAAGUGACGGUACCUGCAGAAGAAGGUCCGGCCAACUACGUGC